rnacentral:rRNA from 1 species
CAAUAUGAAGGUCAGGCUGAAGACUUACCCGAUUAGCUGAGAGGUGGUGCAUGGCCGUCGUCAGUUCGUACUGUGAAGCAUCCUGUUAAGUCAGGCAACGAGCGAGACCCACGUCCACAGUUGCCAGCAUACCCUCCGGGGUGAUGGGUACACUGUGGAGACCGCCGCUGCUAAAGCGGAGGAAGGAGUGGGCAACGGUAGGUCAGUAUGCCCCGAAUCUCCCGAGCUACACGCGGGCUACAAUGGUUGGUACAAUGGGCAUCUACCCCGAAAGGGGAAGGAAAUCUCUUAAAGCCAAUCGUAGUUCGGAUUGAGGGCUGCAACUCGCCCUCAUGAAGCUGGAAUCCGUAGUAAUCGCGUUUCAACAGAACGCGGUGAAUACGUCCCUGCUCCUU